UACGUAGGGGGCAAGCGUUAUCCGGAUUUACUGGGUGUAAAGGGAGCGUAGACGGCCAGACAAGUCUGAAGUGAAAAUCCAGCGCUUAACGUUGGAAGUGCUUUGGAAACUGCCGGGCUAGAGUGCAGGAGGGGCAGGCGGAAUUCCUAGUGUAGCGGUGAAAUGCGUGGAUAUUAGGAGGAACACCAGUGGCGAAGGCGGCCUGCUGGACUGCAACUGACGUUGAGGCUCGAAGGCGUGGGGAGCAAACAGG
rnacentral:rRNA from 1 species